GAUCUGAAACAUCCAUCAGUGAUCAUUCGACUCGAGAAACGCUUACAGAACAAGAAGUUCCAUUUAAUUUGUUUGCCUUACUGGAGCCGGGAAUUCAGAAGAUGGCCGGUUAUCUUGGUAUUCUACUGAUUGCAGUCAUUUUGACGGGCAGUGUUCUGAGGGAAACCCAAGCGGUUUGCUGCCAUCCCAUUUUAAACGGAGGAGGGUACUGCAAGGAUUGUACAAAAAAAGCUCCAUAUUGUUCAGACGGGGAAUGUAAUUCAUUCGGCUGUAAUUGCAAGGGUGGCUGUCGAAAAGACUGCGGCUAUCGAAUCCAACAUUACACCAAGAUGUUUGAUCAGGGUUUUAUCGGAUGGGUUACUCAAUGCUAUUGCACUAAUGGAAGAUCCGUGGAAGAUGUUCACAGAACUUAAGAUGUUGAUGCAGCGGAUAUGGUAAUAAACCACAGGGUUAUUUGCUAUUGGGACGCGAAGAAUGGGCUGAGAGAGAGAGAGAGAGAGGAGGAGGAAUGCAUUCAUAUGUGUCUGAUUUAAUAUUGACGUUGAAAUGAAAAAAACGUCAUUCUUUAAUUAAACGGAAUUGC